UUUUUUUUUUUUUUUUUUGUCUUUUUGCUAUUUCUUGGGCCACUCUCGCGGCAUAUGGAGGUUCCCAGGCUAGGGGUCCAUUCGGAGCUGUGGCCACCGGCCUACGCCAGAGCCACAGCAACACGGGAUCCGAGCCGCGUCUGCAGCCUAUACCACAGCUUACGGCAACACCAGAUCCUUAACCCACUGAGCAAGGCCAGGGAUCAAACCUGCAACCUCAUGGUUCAUAGUCGGAUUUGUUAACCACUGUGCCAUGACAGGAACUCCACAGUGAUUUUUUUUUUAACUUCAGCUGCUAUCAUAGCUGAUAUUCUCUUAUUUCAAAUCUUAUUUAAGGAAUUUCCAUCAUGGCUCAGUGGUAGCAAACCCAACUAGUAUCCAUGAGGACACUGAUUCAAUCCCUGACCUUGCUCAGUGGGUUAAGGAUCCAGCGUUGCCAUGAGCUGUGCUGUAGGUUGCAGAGGUGUCUCAGAUCCAGUGUUCCUGUGGCUGUGGUGUAGGCCAGCAGCUGUUGCUCCAAUUUGACCCUUACCCUGGGAACUUCCAUAUUCCUAUGCUGUGGGUGCAGCCCUAAAAAACAAAAAAAAAUUAAAAUAAAAAAUUAGUUAAAAUCUUAUUUAAGAUAGUUCUCCCAAGAUUUAAAAUUCUUAAAGUGAGGUUUAGGGAGCACCUGCCUUUGAAGUUUAGUCCCUUUGUGCUAAGGACUUUGUUACAUACAGAGGAAUGCAUUUCUGUUUCAGAAAGUACUUACUAUGCACAUUUCCUAUACUUGGAAUAAGAGUGAGUUUGAAGGAAAUGAGACCUUCUGGAACUUAGUAAAGGCUCCAGUUAGGACUGCAGCUUAGGGAAGACUUGAUAAAGUAGCCAGUGGAGUCGCUGACAUAUUGGGAAGGAAAUACCUUUGUGACUCUGGAUAUUUCUGGUUGCCUCCCUUCAGACUCUGUAGUAAUGGAGGACCGACCAUGGAAACAAAGAACACAGGUUGAUGUACAAUAGGAUGAUCAAGAAUUUGAAAAUCAGGUGGUGCUACUGGACAGUCACUCAGACUGUACUAUUUUAUUUUAUUUUAUUUAUUUUAUUUUUUUGCUUUUUAGGGCCGCACCCGUGCCAUAUGAAGUUUCCCAGGUUAGGGGUCGAAUUGGAGCUACAGUUGCCGGCCUACACCACAUCAGAUCCAAGCCGCAUCUGCAACCUACACCACAGCUCAGGGCAAUGCCAGAUCCCCAACCCACUGAGUGAGGCCAGGAAUUGAACCUGCAUCCUCAUGGAUACUAAUCGGGUUCAUUUCCACUGUACCACAAUGGGAACUCCCAUAAAUGACUUCAUUUUAUCUGGAUUUCACUUUCUUUUUGUCAUUUCCUGUUAUUUUUAUCCCUACAUAUAUUGUUGAUACAAAAUAUUAGGAGUAUUGCUGUUGAAUCAUGUCAUAUUAUGACACUGCUUUAGGGAUGACAUGAAGCUGACAUAAACUUUCACUGCUUCUAACAGAAUAAAUGAUGCCAUGCUUGAAAUACCAUUGAAUGGCUCAUAGAUAAUAUGAGUUGAGUCUCAAUGAGUUUUUGCCAUAAUUUAGAUGUAAAUGCCACAUUGCUAAUGUUCCAAAAUUAUCAGUACAUUUAUUUCUGCUGAAGCCCAAGAACCAAUGAAGUUUGCAUAGCAAAAAGAGGAAUGUGGCAUUUACAGCUAAAUUUUGGUUCUCAAGAUACAUAAAUUGGCAUAAUUAUUAUUAUUAUCAUUGCUGUUGUUAUUAUUAUUGAGUCAAGAGAUUAUUUCUGAAUUAUAGUUUUCAUUAAAUUACAAUGUAUUUUGAUUUCUUUCAAAAGUAAAAUAAUCUGAGUUUUUGGUUAAAUGCACUAUUGCGGAGGUGUAUGUGGGGGUGGGUAACACCAGCCCUCCCAAGGUCCCCACCAUGUGGGCUGCCCCCAAGAACUAUGUCUGUGCUUGUGAGCUUUGCAAACCAUACAGCUUAUUGUCUUUUUCCUUCUUUUUUGGCUGGAAAUCUCAGAACAAAAUUUCGUUGUUCCUUUGAGCUGAGGUGUUACAAUGUCCAGUGCUUAUUCUCACAUGGGAUCCUCCCCUGUUCUUCUUUGCCUUCACCUUGGUUCAUUACCCAUUUCCUAACUCCCUGCUUAAUAUGCAUCACUACUCAAACCUUUCUUAGGAAAGGGAUGGGGAUGUACACAUAAAUGCAUUCUUUACUUUCAUGAUUAGUCUAGCAUUCAGUUAAAAUUCCAGAUUCCAAUAGUAGAUUAACAUUGCAAAAAUUUCAACGUGGGAGCCUUUUUUGGGUCACAGUGUCCCCUAAGCUAUGUUGCUUUAGAAGACUUGCUUCGACUUGUCUACAAAGAAGAACAUUAGACUCUUUCUAUAAAGUAUCUUCCCGAGAGGUAAUUACUACAGAAUUUCCAAGGUAGGAUAAUCUGAUAUUCAGAAUUCUGGCUUCUUAUCUCUGCAAAUUUUUUUGUUGUUGUCGUUAUUGGAUGGGGCAGCAUCUGUGUUCCACAUGCACUUGCUUUUUAUAGACAGUUUUCUUUAGCCUUCAUAUCUCAAUGAGUAAGAAAGCAAAUGGACCUUACAAAUUGCAAAAUAAUAUUCACUGACAAGCAGUUGACUAAAGUAAGUGAGCACUAUGUUAUGGGUCCCAGUGCCUGCUGAUUCUGUCACUGUGAUUCUCUGUUCAAAGAGUUGUGCCAUGAUUAUUAGUUGCCUGUAAACAACUCCAACUAUUUCUGUGGUGUUGAAAAUAAGUUCUCAUUAAAAAAAAUUAUUAAUGGUUGACUGACAAUGUUUUAUUGGUUGCAGGUAUACAGCAUAGUGAAUCAGUUAUGUGUAUACACUAUCCAUUCUUUUUUCCCAUCAAGGUUAUUACCAAAUAUUGAGUAGAUUUCGCUGUGCUCUACAGUAGGUUCUCAUUAAUCAUCUAUCUUAUACAAUAGCGUAUGUGAGUUAUUCCCAUCCUCCCUAUUCUUCCCUCCCCCCAGACAAGUUCUCAUUUUGCUAUGAGCCCAGGAUCUUAUAUCCUAAUGAGUGAACAUUCUCCUGCGUUUCAUAGUUGUGGUCAAAUACAGGGCUACCUCAAAGUCUUCCCAUGGAGAAUACUCGACUUUCUUUUAUAAAAACAUUUUUAUGCCCUGAGUUAUCUUCCUGACUUCAUCAGACACCCGCUGCAGAUCCACCUGUCUUCUUGGCAUCAGGACAGGAUUUGAAGGGCUGGCUGGGACUUUCCAGGGCACGUCUUGUCUUUUCGAUGAACAACUGUCAACAGGUGUGAAGAUGACAAAGAACCAGGCCAGGAGCAGGGCGGUGUGGGGUGGGCAGAAAAGAAGAGCUUCCUGUAGAACCCAUGGCACUUGCAGUUUUAUACAUGCCCCCCAUGACGACCCACUCCCGCCUGGCACCUGGAGGUGACUGGAAAGAUCCAACCAAGUGGGACUAGGCAGCAUGCCACCAUGACAGAUGGAUCUCUGUGUGGUCACGAUGCCAAGUAUUCUAUGCAUCAAGUGUCUCUGCUAAAAGUUUGAGUCUCUGCCAGGAUUAUCCAAAUGGAUGUCUGUCUCCAAACCUGGGCACGAGGCGCGUGACAUGAAGCGUUCACUCAUCCGGCUGCUGCCAGAGAUUCACGUCGGCUUGUUCAAAGGUCUGGGCGGGGGCCCUGGGGCUGGGAUCUCAGCUGAGUUGGAUGCAGGAGUCCUCCAGCUGCUUUUGCAUCUGCCUCUCCUAGGGCCCAGGGUCCAUGAGGCCUCAGAUCUUCUCCAUGACACAUGUUCCCUUUCCUGGAGACUCAAGAAAGAGAGCCCUUGCUGGUUAGGAGGAAAGGAAAGUUAUGUGCAGAUGCCUUGUUUCUUCUUCAUAUUUGACACCUCAGUACAGACACUGUGAUAUGUAAAGUAAGGGUAGAGUCAGUGACUGUUAGACUAUGUAGAAUAGAAUUUAUCAACAAAUAGCCUUUCAUCAUUACAUUAAAUCCAUGAAGUAUCAUCUCUUUGUAGGGAGCGGGGUAGGGGGCAAAUUAUGUCUAUGAAUAGGAGGGUUUAUCCUAGAUUUUUCUUUCUAAGAAUAUUAAUAUGUAUAAUAUAUACUAUACAUAUAUAUUACUUUUUAUAGAUUACUCUGACUAUAUCUUUGACUAUAGACACACCCACACAUACACAUGUGUAGUGAUGAACAUGCAGAUUUUUUAUUCUUCAUUCUGUCAACACAUCUCUAAGAACUGACUUGGCCCAACCUUAUUAGCGCUGAGGGACUGAAUGUGCCUUCAGAAUAUUUACCAAAAUAAAGUACAAUAGCUGUUGCUUGGUGAUGCAGCGUGAAGCAAAAAUGUACUGUCUUCUUUGGAUUAAAAUGUUCAUGUCAUAUUUUCUUUGUCUGGGGACGGGGCAGUGUGAAUAUCCCAUGCUCUUCUGAUGACCUCAGUAGGAGUAUAUGAAAUAGCAAUGAGUCAACCUUCCAGAGUGUCUGCAGGCCCCUGUGUUUCCCCAUGCAUUGUUGUAAGAGGAGAACACAGUCAGGCAACUACACAAAAUGAGAAAGCAUAUUAUGCUCCUCAACGUGAAGACAUCUAACUUGUAUUACUUCUUGUUUUCUCAGAGUUCACUGUUUCGGAUUCAUGUCAAAAUAGAGGAUCUGCUAGAAAAUUUGCAGAAGUAAAAGGAGACCAUUUCAUUUAUAUUUUCCAAUUUUUUAAAUGAAAUGCUUCUCUUCCUUGCCCCUCCAUAAGUUUGUAUUAUUACGCUAUAGAUUUUUAAAAGACAUCAUCCAUUCUGUAGUACUAUAGAAUCACAUUUAAUUUUUUUCUGGCCCUUAGUGGAAGUAACUAUCCAGAAAAUGAACUAAAACAAUCAUCCAUAGUUUUCCAAUCUUUCUCUCUGCCUAAUUUAGGUAUCCUAUCACCAUCUGUCUGUUCCAGAACUGUUUUUUUGAGAAAAUAACAGCAUCCCACCUAAUAAUAUGAAAUAAUAAUCACUGAAUUUAUACUUUAAAAUCUUAAUUGCAUACAAUUAAUUAGAGCACAAUUUUAAUAGAUUCCUUUGAUAAUCACAUUAAUUAAGAAGGAUGCACAGUAAUUGGGUUCUAUCCAAACUGUAAUAUCCCUCCAGCUGCUGGCCGAGGAUGCUCUUCUAGUUAUGAACCCCCAAAGAAUAUGGUAGAAAGGUUGGCAUGCAAUUUGGCAGCAUGUCUGUAAUUCCAGGGAUACGUGCACUGUCCCCUCGCUCAGAGAUUUGUCAGUGGCUCUUCCUAAGAUUAAAUAUAGUUAAGAACAGUAGGAAACUGGAAUUCCGACCUGCAGAAUAUAUAUUGUAGGCCCAAAAGUGGCCUGGCAGCUAGUGCCCCAGAGCCUGUGGGUUGAGACCUUAUUAAAUGAGCUGUAGAUGCUGGUAUGGUGACACCUCCUGCAGGGGCUCUGUGAGGGGAGGGGAGGCUGGAAUAGUGCCCCUGGAAUAAUCCCCUUCUCCCUUUCAUGCUGGUAGACAGCUAGUCCUUGAUGACAUUUGGUGAAGAAAUGUCUGUUGUGACUCACAGGCCUAGAAAACAGACUUGGGAGUUUGGGGUUAGUAAAUGCAAACCAUUACCUUUCGAAUGGAUAAGCAGUGAGGUCCUGCUAUAUAGCAAAGGGAACUGUAUCCAGUUUCUGGGAUAGAUCAUGAUGGAAAAGAAUAUAAAAAAGAAUGGAUAUAUAUGUAUGCCUGAGUCACUUUGCUGUACAGCAGAAAUUGGCACCAAAUUGUAAAUUGACUAUACUUUAAUUUUUUUAAGACCAAAAUGAAAGAAAGAAAUGAAGGAAAAAAUGAAGGAAGGAAAGAAGGGAGGGAGGAAGGAAGGAAAGAAAGAAAGAAGGAAGGGAGAAGAAGAAAGGAAGAAAGGUCUGUUGCACCUCUGCCCAACUCUGGGAAAACAGUCUAGGAAAGGAAUGACCCCACUCCCAGAAGCUUUCCUAGGAAGCGAAGCCAGGCUGUCAACACAUAUUGACAGUAACUACAGUAAAAUGUGACAAGCACAACAAGAGAACUCAAACAUCUGUGGGAUUAAAGAAGAACAGUUAAUAUCCCCUGGGGGCAUCAGGCACAUCACGGGCCAAAGCCUUACCUGCACCCAGGAAUCCACUAAGCUUUCCCGUGCCCUCUUUCUGUUUUUAAAAAAGUAGCCGGUGGAGUUCCCUGAUGGUGCAGCAGGCUAAGGAUCCAGCAUGGUCACUGCUGUGAUAUGGGUUCCAUCCCUGGCUUGGAAACUUAUGCAUGUUGUAGGCACAGCCAGAAAAAAAAAAAUUUAAGAGCUGGUAUUUUAUGUCACUUAGCCUUGAAGCCUUUCAAACUAAUUGGAAUUCAGCAGUGGUUAUCCUAUUUCUCA
rnacentral:lncRNA from 1 species